rnacentral:rRNA from 1 species
UACGUAGGGGGCUAGCGUUGUCCGGAAUCAUUGGGCGUAAAGCGCGUGUAGGCGGUCCGGUAAGUCCGCUGUGAAAGUCGAGGGCUCAACCCUCGAAUGCCGGUGGAUACUGUCGGGCUAGAGUGCGGAAGAGGCGAGUGGAAUUCCUGGUGUAGCGGUGAAAUGCGUAGAUAUCGGAAGGAACACCAGUGGCGAAAGCGGCUUCCUGGUCCAGCACCGACGUCAGGCACGAAAGCGUGGGGAGCAAAC